rnacentral:lncRNA from 1 species
AAAACAUAAGUUGAAUGAAAUGAUAUUUUCUGGCUUGAUCUUAGUGGUGUUUAUAACCACCAUUUUGCAUGUUUGCCUCAAAGUUUUUGGCACUUAUUCUCUUACCUCUCCCCUCCCCCUCCCAUUAAAUUCCUGAGAAAAAAUAUAAAAUGAUUAGUUCUUGGCUAAACAAAUGGCAAAGGUAAUUGUUAGAUUAAUAUGUUUUUAAUGAACCUUUUUUUUGGGGGGGGGUAUGAAAAUGGAGGAAAAAAAUAAAUUACUAUAUAGAGACCGCACCUUUAAAAAGUCAAGUUUCAUGAUAAAGCUGGUCUCCAAGCACCAGCCAGAAUGGAUGGAGUUUGAAUAGGAUUUAAAAACCCAACUGUGUGCAGAAAUUAGAGUUUUGCCCCUGAAUCAUAUGGAAUUACAGUGCUGGAUGCGUGCGCCGUGCCUACACAAUGAGGCCCAGAGGAAGCUGCUAUUUCUGUUGGUUUUAUUAAACCAACCAAGCAAUUUAAUUCCUUUGUUCGGGAGAGUUCUACUUCAUUGAUUAACAAAAGCAGGGAUAUAAUUUUUUCAGCCUUUUUGAAAAGCCUGAAAUGUCAAGCCUUUUAAAGCAGAUUAUUCUGCCUCUGUGCAGUGAAUACAGCCAGAGUAACCUUUUGUCUACAAUUAAAUAUUCUAGCAUAAAUAUAAAAGAAAAAUCAGAGAUGGGGAAGAUUGACUCACGAGAGAUUGGAGAGGUAGAUUCACACAGUGAUAGUGCAAGCAGCUUGCUUCUAAUUAAAUAUGCGACUGAGUCUCAAAGCAUUUUGCUUUCAGCCGCAGAGAGAAGAAGCUGCCCAAGAAUGGGAAGGAAGAAAUAUAUCACAUCAUCUGUCUGUCCGCAGGCUUUCCUUGGGGCUUAUGAAGAUUUCCUUUGGGCAAUACUUCUUUCCCCCAUUGACUCCACAGAGGAAGACCGGCAUAAACAGACAUCUGGCAAAGAGUAAGUAGUGUGUGGUCUUUUCUCUUAUUACCGUCUCUAGAAAUAAGAACAGCAAGGAUGCUCAACAGUAGUGGGGAGCCACUGUGUAUGUGGAGGAGGAAGCAGAGCGUUGGGAAAUGCAGCAGUCUGAAUUUUCAGUGGGAAGUGUAGCCCGACUACCUGUUUAUGCCAGAGGAUUUCCAGUACUUCUCCCACACCAUGCUGUCUGAGCACUGAGCGGACCAGACUGUUUAUUAUACUCCUGAAAGGGCAACAGGAUAGGGAACGCUCCCAAAUCCUCUGCCGCUACAUUUGGAGCCUCUCCGCUUUCCUGUCUCUCAAGGAGUGUUAGCAAGAUGGAGCAGCUUUCCUUGUAGAACGCACAGGUCCAGCCAGUUCUUUGACAAGAAGCUUUCUGCCUCCUAGAGAUAAAAUAAACCAGAUCGAUCGCCCUGGCUGCUUUCUUCA